rnacentral:lncRNA from 1 species
AAAAAUAUAAACAAAAAUUAAACUGUAAAGAUAAUGUCACAAAUAAGAAGUAUGUGUCAAAAAAUCAAAAGGAAAAAAUCAUUUGGAUGGUUAAAAAAUGUGAAAGAAGCAAAAAAAUAAGGGUGAAAACGAAAGGAAAAAGGGAAGAAAAAAUGGAAAAUGUGACAGCAAGGUAUUGAACCCAGGACAUGGGGGCGGGAGGCGUGAAGUAAAA